rnacentral:lncRNA from 1 species
GAUGUGGGUAGGAGGAAUAAGAUCAGAAAGACUUCGCUUUAUUCUCUACUAGUAUUAAAAGUGAAGGAUCCUAGGUCGUGUUUACUCAAAACCAAAGGCAUAUAAUAUAUAUCCCACCCGUCUAUUUAUAUUUCAUAUUUUUUUUUAAGAAUGUAAAUAUCAUUGAAAAAUGAAUAGUUAAAUGUUACAAAUUGUAAGAAAAUAAUAAUUGAGGUACAAAUUAAUCCCAUGAAUCAAAUUACUCCGCCACUGAUUCUAUUAUGCCUUUAAUCUUUAGAGAAGAAGAAACAAUAUAUUCAUUAAAUGAAUCAAACUUUGGAUGCUUGAAAAGCAGAAAGAAAUACAAAGUGAUAAGAUAGCAGUUAGAGAAGGAAUAUUUAAAAAGGAGAAUGCAAUGGUGGCAUGGCCCGACCCGUAGGGCGUGAGAGAGUUAGUGAACUUGGUCUAUCGAGGGAGCGUCUCU